rnacentral:tRNA from 1 species
GCCUGGGUGGCUCAGUCAGUUGAGUGCCCGACUUGGGCACAGGUCAUGAUCUCACAGUCUGUGGGUUCAAGCCCCACUUCAGGCU